CCGGGAGCCGCCCGGGCUGCGCCGCGCCCGCAGGGAGGCUGAGGGGAGGGGGUCCCAGCCCGGGCCAUCCCCCGAAGAGGUGAAAGGUUGGCGACCGAUGAGGAGACUGAGGCACACAGAGCAGUUACACUAAUCCUCUGAACUCAGCUCUUGAAAUACCUGGCACCUGAUGGUACUUCUGUUCUCUGCAAAAGCAGGUGGAAAAAUGUCCUUCUACAUUCCACAAAAGAGAAAACGGAGGCCUAAAGAGGGAAGUGACUUACCCAGGUUCACAGAUGCAGUCAGCGACCGAUCUGAGAAUGGAACACCAUUUUCUGACUCUUAAACCACAGCCCUCAGCCUGGGCAGUCACCUCCUUCCUCAAGAGGAAGCCCUCAGUAACUCCUCAGAGACAGGGCCUUUGUACUAAAUAGGAGCCACAGAGAUUGGGCAGUGGGGGGGUGUCCACCCUCAGUCUUUCCACUCCAAUCCAUGAGACUUUUAUAUUCACAGUACUUUCAAAUGCAGAUUGCAUAGAACAUCCCUUUAAAGGAACUUUCUAAGGCUCAUUCUGAAGCAAAACAUGACCCUGCAGGUAUGGAAAAAUAAAAGCUCCUAAAGAAUAGGAAAAAAUGCAGCGGUAUAUGAGUCCUCAUCUCUGUCCUUGCACUUUCUCUUUCCCUCUAGUAUCCUCUCAUUUCAAUCCUCUCUUCCACUAUGCACCCAGAACUUGGGAUUUGUCAUUAUUCCAUUCCUUCCCGUCCAAGCCCAGGUAAAAUCCAGGUUACCUCUUUUGCUUCUCAUUUCAGGUGAGACCAGUAGGAAUUUCCAGCUUUACUAAAAGCCUUAAACACAUCCUUGUUCAAGAACAUGCAGUGCCUUCCUGGAGUCUAUGGUAUC